AUGGUAGUACCAUGUAGCAAAAAUUACCGUCGGUGGCAGCAAAACACAUCUAUGUUUCCAGCAAAACAAACAUCUUGGUUCCAACAAAAUUCACCGCUGGCACCAAUUCGAGCAAAGGAAACACCAGUUCCAACAAAAAAUUCCUCCCAUAGCAGAAAACAUAUCACUGGUUCCAGCAAAAAUAGAACUUGGUUCCAGCAGAAAAUCACCGCCGACACCGAUCCAAGGAAAAAGAACACACCAGUUCCAGCAAAAAUUACAGCUGGUAGCAGCAAAAAACACCACGGGUUCCAGCAUCCCUGA
rnacentral:rRNA from 1 species